UAUGAAGAACGCAGCGAAAUGCGAUAAGUAAUGUGAAUUGCAGAAUUCAGUGAAUCAUCGAAUCUUUGAACGCACCUUGCGCCCUUUGGCCAUUCCGAAGGGCAUGCCUGUUUGAGUAUCAUGAACACCUCAACUCUUCAUGGUUUUCCGUGAUGAGCUUGGACUUUGGGGGUCUUGCUGGCCUAUGGUCAGCUCCUCUAAAAUAAAUCAGCUUGCCAGUGUUUGGUGGGUAUCACAGGUGUGAUAACUAUCUACGCUUGUGGUUUUCCACCAGGUAACCUUCAGCAGUGGAGGUUCGCUGGAGCUCACAGAUGUGUCUCUCCUCAGUGAGGACAGCUCUUUGAAUGUUUGAUCUCAAAUCAGGUAGGACUACCCGCUGAACUUAAGCAUAUCAAUAAGCGGAGGA
rnacentral:misc_RNA from 1 species